UGGGGAAUAUUGCACAAUGGGCGAAAGCCUGAUGCAGCAACGCCGCGUGAGUGAUGAAGGCCUUCGGGUUGUAAAGCUCUGUCUUCUGGGACGAUAAUGACGGUACCAGAGGAGGAAGCCACGGCUAACUACGUGCCAGCAGCCGCGGUAAUACGUGGGUGGCAAGCGUUGUCCGGAUUUACUGGGCGUAAAGGAUGCGUAGGCGGAUACUUAAGUCAGAUGUGAAAAUCCCGGGCUUAACUUGGGAACUGCAUUUGAAACUGGGUAUCUAGAGUGCGGGAGAGGAAAGUGGAAUUCCUAGUGUAGCGGUGAAAUGCGUAGAGAUUAGGAAGAACACCAGUGGCGAAGGCGACUUUCUGGACCGUAACUGACGCUGAGGCAUGAAAGCGUGGGGAGCAAACA
rnacentral:rRNA from 1 species